rnacentral:rRNA from 1 species
CAGCCGCCACGGUAAUACGUAGGUGGCAAGCGUUGCCCGGAAUUAUUGGGCGUAAAGGGCUCGCAGGCGGUUUCUUAAGUCUGAUGUGAAAGCCCCCGGCUCAACCGGGGAGGGUCAUUGGAAACUGGGAAACUUGAGUGCAGAAGAGGAGAGUGGAAUUCCACGUGUAGCGGUGAAAUGCGUAGAGAUGUGGAGGAACACCAGUGGCGAAGGCGACCCUCUGGUCUGUAACUGACGCUGAGGAGCGAAAGCGUGGGGAGCGAACAGGAUUAGAUACCCCGGUAGUCCCUGUCUCUUAUAA